CACUAGUGAUUAGAGUUUGAUCCUGGCUCAGGAUGAACGCUGGCGGCGUGCCUAAUACAUGCAAGUCGAACGCACAGCGAAAGGUGCUUGCACCUUUCAAGUGAGUGGCGAACGGGUGAGUAACACGUGGAUAACCUACCUCAAGGUUGGGGAUAACAUUUGGAAACAGAUGCUAAUACCGAAUAAAACUUCGUAUCGCAUGAUACAAGGUUAAAAGGCGCUACGGCGUCACCUAGAGAUGGAUCCGCGGUGCAUUAGUUAGUUGGUGGGGUAAAGGCCUACCAAGACAAUGAUGCAUAGCCGAGUUGAGAGACUGAUCGGCCACAUUGGGACUGAGACACGGCCCAAACUCCUACGGGAGGCUGCAGUAGGGAAUCUUCCACAAUGGGCGAAAGCCUGAUGGAGCAACGCCGCGUGUGUGAUGAAGGCUUUCGGGUCGUAAAGCACUGUUGUAUGGGAAGAACAGCUAGAGUAGGGAAUGACUUUAGUUUGACGGUACCAUACCAGAAAGGGACGGCUAAAUACGUGCCAGCAGCCGCGGUAAUACGUAUGUCCCGAGCGUUAUCCGGAUUUAUUGGGCGUAAAGCGAGCGCAGACGGUUGAUUAAGUCUGAUGUGAAAGCCCGGAGCUCAACUCCGGAAAGGCAUUGGAAACUGGUCAACUUGAGUGCAGUAGAGGUAAGUGGAACUCCAUGUGUAGCGGUGGAAUGCGUAGAUAUAUGGAAGAACACCAGCGGCGAAGGCGGCUUACUGGACUGUAACUGACGUUGAGGCUCGAAAGUGUGGGUAGCAAACAGGAUUAGAUACCCUGGUAGUCCACACCGUAAACGAUGAACACUAGGUGUUAGGAGGUUUCCGCCUCUUAGUGCCGAAGCUAACGCAUUAAGUGUUCCGCCUGGGGAGUACGACCGCAAGGUUGAAACUCAAAGGAAUUGACGGGGACCCGCACAAGCGGUGGANCAUGUGGUUUAAUNCGAACAACGCGAAAACCUUACCAGGUCUUGACAUCCUUUGAAGCUUUAAAGAUAGAAGUGUUCUCUCNGANACAANUGACAGGUGGUGCAUGGUCCUCCUC
rnacentral:rRNA from 1 species